UACGUAGGUGGCAAGCGUUGUCCGGAAUUACUGGGUGUAAAGCGCGUGUAGGCGGGAGGCCAAGUCUGCUGUGAAAUCGCUCGGCUCAACUGGGCGGGGUCGGUGGAAACUGGUCACCUGGAGGACGGUAGAGGCGAGUGGAAUUCCCGGUGUAGUGGUGAAAUGCGUAGAGAUCGGGAGGAACACCAGUGGCGAAGGCGGCCACCUGGACGGUCACUGACGCUGAGACGCGAAAAGCGUGGGUAGCAAACAGG
rnacentral:rRNA from 1 species